rnacentral:rRNA from 1 species
AUGGAGGACGCAGCAACUUCGAACCCAGCUCCACCUAAUACUAUUAUCAAUCUCCCUGAUGAUGAUGAGGAUGAAGAACCACUGAAGCGCAGGAGGAGUAGGAAAGCGUCCGCCAGUAAGGUGCCCCAGGAUGUGACGGCGCCUGAGAUUCUGAUUGCGGAGGAAGAGAACACCACUCGACACACGGUGUCCUUCGCAGAUCCAUUGACGAGUGCUCCGCAGCCCUCUCUCUUCACGACGCACCACGUCCCGGAGGACCAAGCCGGCGCGGCGAAGGAGGCAAUACGCCAGGCGGGAAUCAUGAUGGAGCAGUUGAAGACUAUCCGGGACGCGAGCCAGGCAGCUUAUGACGCCAGUUCUGCCCUCCAGAGCAAUGUUCAGGUCAGUCGACCACUGUUUGUUCUGUUGGAUAUGCUGCCAAAAACUUUUCCUUUCCGGGAUUUAUAG